rnacentral:sRNA from 1 species
UUAUAUUCUCCGCUGGGGGGGAUGAGAAUCCCCGACCGGGGUUCGACAACUGGCGCAGCCAGUUGGACAGACCGCGAGCCUGCGAGCGGGCUGCCCCGCAGGGGCGAGCGAAGCGAGUCAAUCCCCCCCUCACCGCCA